ACUCCUACGGGUGGCGGCAGUAGGGAAUCUUCCACAAUGGGUGCAAACCUGAUGGAGCAAUGCCGCGUGAGUGAAGAAGGUCUUCGGAUCGUAAAGCUCUGUUGUUAGAGAAGAACACGUGCUAGGUAACUACUAGCGCCUUGACGGUAUCUAACCAGAAAGUCACGGCUAACUACGUGCCAGCAGCCGCGGUAAUACGUAGGUGACAAGCGUUGUCCGGAUUUAUUGGGCGUAAAGGGAGCGCAGGCGGUCUGUUUAGUCUAAUGUGAAAGCCCACGGCUUAACCGUGGAACGGCAUUGGAAACUGACAGACUUGAAUGUAGAAGAGGAAAAUGGAAUUCCAAGUGUAGCGGUGGAAUGCGUAGAUAUUUGGAGGAACACCAGUGGCGAAGGCGAUUUUCUGGUCUAACAUUGACGCUGAGGCUCGAAAGCGUGGGGAGCGAACAGGAUUAGAUACCCUGGUAGUCCACGCCGUAAACGAUGAGUGCUAAGUGUUGGGGGCUUUCCGGCCCUCGGUGCUGGAGCUAACGUAUUAAGCACUCCGCCUGGGGAUUACGACCGCAAGGUUGAAACUCAAAAGAAUUGACGGGGACCCGCACAAGCGGUGGAGCAUGUGGUUUAAUUCGAAGCAACGCGAAGAACCUUACCAGCUCUUGACAUCUUCUGACAACUCUAGAGAUAGAGCGUUCCCUUCGGGGACAGAAUGACAGGUGCUGCAUGGAUGUCGUCAGCUCG
rnacentral:rRNA from 1 species